AUUGAACGCUGGCGGCAGGCUUAACACAUGCAAGUCGAGCGAGCGGCGGACGGGUGAGUAAUUUCUGGGAAACUGCCUGAUGGAGGGGGAUAACUACUGGAAACGGUAGCUAAUACCGCAUACCAUCGGAUGUGCCCACAUGGGAUUAGCUAGUAGGUUGGGUAACGGCUCACCAGGGCGACGAUCCCGAGCUGGUCUGAGAGGAUGACCAGCCACACUGGAACUGAGACACGGUCCAGACUCCUACGGGAGGCAGCAGUGGGGAAUAGUGCACAAUGGGCGCAAGCCUGAUGCAGCCAUGCCGCGUGUAUGAAGAAGGCCUUCGGGUUGUAAAGUACUUUCAGCGAGGAGGCGUUACUCGCAGAAGAAGCACCGGCUAACUCCGUGCCAGCAGCCGCGGUAAUUC
rnacentral:rRNA from 1 species